AGCGAACGCUGGCGGCAGGCUUAACACAUGCAGGUCGAGCGCCGUAGCAAUACGGAGCGGCAGACGGGUGAGUAACACGUGGGAACGUACCGUUUGGUUCGGAACAACAAAGGGAAACUUGUGCUAAUACCGGAUAAGCCCUUACGGGGAAAGAUUUAUCGCGGGAAGAUCGGCCCGCGUCUGAUUAGCAAGUUGGUGAGGUAACGGCUCACCAAGGCGACGAUCAGUAGCUGGUCUGAGAGGAUGAUCAGCCACACUGGGAAUGAGACACGGCCCAGACUCCUACGGGAGGCAGCAGUGGGGAAUAUAGGAAAAUGGGCGCAAGCCUGAUCCAGCCAUGCCGCGUGAGUGAUGAAGGCCCUAGAGUUGUAAAGCUCUUUUGUGCGGGAAGAUAAUGACUGUACCGCAAGAAUAAGCCCCGGCUAACUUCGUGCCAGCAGCCGCCGUAAUAC
rnacentral:rRNA from 1 species